UACAGAGGGUGCAAGCGUUAAUCGGAAUUACUGGGCGUAAAGCGCACGUAGGCGGCUUUGCAAGUCAGAGGUGAAAGCCCGGGGCUCAACCCUGGAAUUGCCUUUGAGACUGCAUCGCUAGAAUUGUGGAGAGGUAAGUGGAAUUCCGAGUGUAGAGGUGAAAUUCGUAGAUAUUCGGAAGAACACCAGUGGCGAAGGCGACUUACUGGACGACUGUUGACGCUGAGGUGCGAAAGCGUGGGGAGCAAACAGG
rnacentral:rRNA from 1 species